rnacentral:lncRNA from 1 species
GUUUAUAUAUAUAUAUAUAUAUAUAUAUAUAUAUAUAUAUAUAUAUAUAUAUAUAAACAAUAUAUAUAUAAUAUGUAAUAAUAUUACUGGUUUAUAUUAAGGCUUAGUUUGGUAUUGAGGCAUAUCUGACGCUUUUAGAUAAAAUAUAGUUGGGAUAAAAUCGUAUACUUCUACUUUCUUUAGUGGAAUCGUAGAAAUUAAAUAUAUUGUAACUGAUUUAUCGCGAUAUACAGAAUGCAAUAUUACGUAAAGAAACAAAUACCGCACGUAAUACAAUCUCCCUGCAAUCCCAAACGAAAGCCAUACAUAUAAAAGCUAGUGCAAUGGAAUUAAUUAAGUUCACAUGUUUAUCACGAUCGAGAGGCCUACUUACUUUUGGAGUUGAGCUAGAAUACUGUCAAAAGCACCAAGGGUUGGUGCUUUUGAGUUUGUAGCCAUUGGAUAGUGUGAUGUAGAGAUAGGAUGAUGGUGGUAGCUAGGUGCAUGGAAUAGUUUUUUAUCCAAAGACUAUUAAUUAAUAGUCAAAGGGUAGAACUAAGGGUUAGAAAUCUAGAAGUAUAGUUGGCACUUUUAGAUGUAUUCUAGCUCAAUUCCUUAUUUUUGUCACCUACACUUUAGA